CUCUAAUAAAACUUGAUGUGAAGAAGAAGAAGAAGAAGAAGAGAUUAAUGGGUCUUUCGAAGCCUUCUUUGCUCUUUGUUUUGGUUCUUUUUGUUGUUCUUGCUUCAGAGAAAUCAUUGGCUGUUCAAGCUAGGUUUCUUUCCACUACUCAACAAAGAUAUGCGAAUGUUUUUGCAACUUUGGGACUUGUUUGCAAGUGUUGUUGUGAUGGCCCCAAGGGAGAAUGCACAAGUAGCUGGACCAACUCUUGCUCUAAAAUCCAAUGCCUUCCUUGGAAACAAAAUUAUCAAUGAAAAUUUUCUCUUUUUGUUUUUGUGAUGUUGUACAUGUAUAUAUAUAUAAUAUCUAUACGAUAAUAUAUAUAAGUACCAGUAUACUUACUGGGCAAUUAAAGGUUAUUAUUACAUAGAAA